UUCCCACAUAGUUUCUCACUUUAGGGCCAUUUAAAAAAAAUCAAUUCCUUAAAUUGUUAACAUAAGUAAUAAUUGUAGGUAUAUUUAUAAUAAAGGAUGGAAGCGCUGGAUGUCUCUGUCAUGACCUUCCUCAAGACCGUUGCUGGCCCCCUCGGAGUGAAUGAACCCAAAAGCGUUGUACGGAUAAUAAAUAUCAGAUCAAUGGGAUAUAUAUGUGGCCAGUUGACACUGUGUCGGCUCUUAUAUACACGAAACUUUCUAUUAUGUAGACAGCAGUCUCUCUAUGCUGUCAGCGUUCAUUGUCAGAAAGUAUACCGGCGUGUGCAUAUCGAACCCCUCCUUCUUUUUCAUCAAAACCGGGCACAGCGCUUAAACUCCCGCCAUAUUUGGUGACCGUUACCGUUAGGGCAAGAUAUGAUAACCUUUAUAAUGCUUCCAGAAACAAAGUUAACCCAAACCCCAGAGGUUGGAUAGAAAAAUGGUUCUCAUCUAUUCGUGUACUAUUUAGCAAUUGAAUAAUUCGGUCCGAAUGAAUUCAGUCUAAUCGUGUCAACGUGCACAAUUUAACCCAUUUCGUUCAAACCUACCGCCAGUCCAAUCGGUGUAAGUUUGGCUCGGCUGCUAGAAACUUGUGGCCUGCUCUCGAGGAUUGGCCGUGGAAUGAAUAUCCUCCGUAUUUCCUCGGACCGGCCUGGAUCGGCUUUGCUGUUUCCCAGCAGCACAAUCCUCCCGCUAUUGGCAGCUCUUUAAACGACGCCAUGAUGCCCAUAGACGACGUUUAUUACUCCGCGCGGGAUCUGCAUCACGGCAAAAGCUGGAGUCGUGCUCCGCUUUUCUUCUAAUUCAACCAGGUGCGACCAGUGUCUUCACGAUGGGAAUGUCGGGUGUCCCCUCGCCCUGAGGGUUACGUCGUUUUAUCGCGUGGAUGACCGUGUCACAAACCCAUAUGAAAAUUCUCAUUUAGACAGCGAGAAUUUCUACCUCAAUGUUACCCAGUGUAUCGUCGCUGACGAUGAGCCAAAUGGAAUCAACAGCACUGUUGACUAUUCCGAGC